CUGUGAUUGGUGCACUGAAUCAACGUGGGACCCACAUGGAUCUCAGCGUUAGGAACGGAAGAGGUGUUUCUCAUCGUACAGUGUUCGUGCUUCGAAGUACAG